rnacentral:ncRNA from 1 species
CCACGGUGAAACUACUGACUGGGAGUAAGUCGUAACAAGGUAUCCGUAGGAGAACCUGCGGAUGGAACAUUUCCUUA